rnacentral:rRNA from 1 species
AUUGAACGCUGGCGGCAGGCCUAACACAUGCAAGUCGAGCGGAUGAAGGGAGCUUGCUCCUGGAUUCAGCGGCGGACGGGUGAGUAAUGCCUAGGAAUCUGCCUGGUAGUGGGGGAUAACGUCCGGAAACGGGCGCUAAUACCGCAUACGUCCUGAGGGAGAAAGUGGGGGAUCUUCGAACCUCACGCUAUCAGAUGAGCCUAGGUCGGAUUAGCUAGUUGGUGGGGUAAAGGCCUACCAAGGCGACGAUCCGUAACUGGUCUGAGAGGAUGAUCAGUCACACUGGAACUGAGACACGGUCCGGACUCCUACGGGAGGCAGCAGUGGGGAAUAUUGGACAAUGGGCGAAAGCCUGAACCAGCCAUGCCGCGUGUGUGAAGAAGGUCGUCGGAUUGUAAAGCACUUUAAGUUGGGAGGAAGGGAAGUAAGUUAAUACCUUGCUGUUUUGACGUUACCAACAGAAUAAGCACCGGCUAACUUCGUG